rnacentral:rRNA from 1 species
CUACGGGUUGCACCAGUGAGGAAUAUUGCACAAUGGGGGGAACCCUGAUGCAGCAACGCCGCGUGGAGGAUGACGCAUUUCGGUGUGUAAACUCCUUUUAUAUGUCAAGAAAAUGACGGUAGCAUAUGAAUAGGCACCGGCUAACUCCGUGCCAGCAGCCGCGGUAAUACGGAGGGUGCAAGCGUUACUCGGAAUCACUGGGCGUAAAGGACGCGUAGGCGGGUUGGAAAGUCAGGUGUGAAAUCCUACAGCUUAACUGUAGAACUGCACUUGAAACUUCUAAUCUAGAGUAUGGGAGGGGGAGAUGGAAUUAGUGGUGUAGGGGUAAAAUCCGUAGAUAUCACUAGGAAUACCUAAGGCGAAGGCGAUCUCCUGGAACAUUACUGACGCUAAGGCGUGAAAGCGUGGGGAGCAAACAGGAUUAGAUACCCCGGUAGUC